UACGUAGGGGGGCAAGCGUUUGUCCCGGAUUUAUUGGGCGUAAAGCGCGUGUAGGCGGCCACACAGGUCCGUUGUGAAAACUCGAGGCUUAACCUCGAGACGUCGAUGGAAACCGUAUGGCUAGAGUCCGGAAGAGGAGAGUGGAAUUCCUGGUGUAGCGGUGAAAUGCGCAGAUAUCAGGAAGAACACCCGUGGCGAAGGCGGCUCUCUGGGACGGUACUGACGCUGAGACGCGAAAGCGUGGGGAGCGAACAGG
rnacentral:rRNA from 1 species